AUCCACUGUCUGGGCCAACCAGGAGAGUCUGUGAUCCACUGUCUAGGUCAACCAGGAGAGUCUGUGAUCCACUGUCUAGGCCAACCAGGAGAGUCUGUGAUCCACUGUCUGGGCCAACCAGGAGAGUCUGUGAUCCACUGUCUGGGCCAACCAGGAGAGUCUGUGAUCCACUGUCUAGGCCAACCAGGAGAGUCUGUGAUCCACUGUCUGGGCCAACCAGGAGAGUCUGUGAUCCACUGUCUAGGCCAACCAGGAGAGUCUGUGAUCCACUGUCUGGGCCAACCAGGAGAGUCUGUGAUCCACUGUCUGGGCCAACCAGGAGAGUCUGUGAUCCACUGUCUGGGCCAACCAGGAGAGUCUGUGAUCCACUGUCUGGGCCAACCAGGAGAGUCUGUUAGGAUGUGUCAACUUUGCCACUGUCAUCAACUUUAGCAUUAAAGGGGAAGUUCAGGAUUUUAGACCUUAAUGCUAGCUGGUACCUCAGUCUGAAAGUAGUCUGUGGACCAGGAGAAACUAUCAUCCAUGGUUCAGUUGUCUGUCGUCAGCCACUACAAACUUCAGUUAACUUUAGCCAAAGAGUUUCCACACCCAGAGGAGCAACAUCGCAAGACUUCCGGCAUGCUUGUGAAACAGACCAAACAGACCAGGGUUGGGGUUCGAGAAGAAGUCAAUGAGAAGUUCAUUUUCACAACCAAGACUGGAGACAAUGUUUUAAAUAGUUGAACAUGUUAUUACUCCGUUGUGAAAGUGACAAACUGACACGCUUUCAUUGGUCAAAAACAACUUUAUAUCAAAGGAGUGCCUAGAUAGUUUGUGUGUGUAUUGGUAUUGAUAUGUAGGCUGUGUGUAUUGGUAUUAAAUAUGUAGACUUUUUAUUUUUAUUUUGAUGUAGUUCUGUUCUUGUCUGUUAAUAUUCUGUAUUAUGUCAUGUUUCAUGUUUUGUGUUGGACCCCAGGAAGAGUAGCUGCUAAUUUUGCAACAGCUAAUGGGGAUCCUAAUAAAAUACCAACAAAAAUACCAAGAAUUUGACGGCCUGCACAGGCCCAGUUCAGUGUGAGAUGACCGUUACACCCCGAUGAUGUGUUUCUGUGCAUGAGCUUCGAUAGCCAACGUCGCCAUGACAUUGUGAAAGGGAAUUUCUACUGGAGAAGCAGUUGCAUCUUCAUAAUGUACCGUCUCUGCUUUUAGCCAUACUGAACUUCCCCUUUAAUGACCAAAGCAACAGCAACAAUAGGAGUGUAUCUCACCAGACAGUGCUUUAGCCAUACUGAACUUCCCCUUUAAUGACCAAAGCAACAACAACAAUAGGAGUGUAUCUCACCAGACAGUGCUUUAGCCAUACUGAACUUCCCCUUUAAUGACCAAAGCAACAGCAACAAUAGGAGUGUAUCUCACCAGACAGUGCUUUAGCCAUACUGAACUUCCCCUUUAAUGACCAAAGCAACAACAACAAUAGGAGUGUAUCUCACCAGACAGUGCUUUAGCCAUACUGAACUUCCCCUUUAAUGACCAAAGCAACAACAACAAUA